rnacentral:rRNA from 1 species
UACGUAGGGGGCAAGCGUUGUCCGGAUUUACUGGGCGUAAAGAGCGUGUAGGCGGCCACGCAGGUCCGUUGUGAAAACUGGAGGCUCAACCUUCAGACGUCGACGGAAACCGUAUGGCUAGAGUCCGGAAGAGGAGAGUGGAAUUCCUGGUGUAGCGGUGAAAUGCGCAGAUAUCAGGAAGAACACCGGUGGCGAAGGCGGGAUCCUGGGCCAGUACUGACGCUGAGGAGCGAAAGCCAGGGGAGCGAACGGG